rnacentral:rRNA from 1 species
GACGAACGCUGGCGGCGUGCUUAACACAUGCAAGUCGAACGGAAAGGCCCUGCUUUUGUGGGGUGCUCGAGUGGCGAACGGGUGAGUAACACGUGAGUAACCUGCCCUUGACUUUGGGAUAACUUCAGGAAACUGGGGCUUAUACCGGAUAGGAGCUCCUGCUGCGUGGGGGGGGUGGGAAAGUUUCGGCGGUUGGGGAUGGACUCGCGGCUUAUCAGCUUGUUGGUGGGGUAGUGGCUUACCAAGGCUUUGACGGGUAGCCGGCCUGAGAGGGUGACCGGCCACAUUGGGACUGAGAUACGGCCCAGACUCCUACGGGAGGCAGCAGUGGGGAAUAUUGCACAAUGGGCGGAAGCCUGAUGCAGCAACGCCGCGUGCGGGAUGACGGCCUUCGGGUUGUAAACCGCUUUCGCCUGUGACGAAGCGUGAGUGACGGUAAUGGGUAAAGAAGCACCGGCUAACUACGUG